rnacentral:lncRNA from 1 species
UAACCUCAAUUUAACGGUCUGACAACCCCAAAUUGAGGGACAUUCUAGUAAAUGAGUCAUCUGUACUCUUCAAAAAUGUCCAUAUCAUGAAACACGGUAAGACUGAGGAAAUGUUUGAGAAUAAUGGAGACUAAAAGGCCGUGACAGCUGAAUGUAGUGCCUGAUCCAAGACUUUCAUCUGUUAUAAAGACCAUUAUUGGAAUAAUUGGCUAGAUCUGAAUAAGACAGAGUGUCACUGUAUUGCCCAGGCUGGAAUGGAGUGGUGUAAUCUUGGCUCACUGCAACCUCCGCCUUCUGGGGGUUCAAGCGAUUCUCAUGCCUCAGCCUCCCGAGCAGGCGCACAACACCACGCCCGGCUAAUUUUUGUAUUUUUAGUAGAGAUGGGGUUUUGCUAUGUUGGCCAGGCUGGUCUGACACUCCUAGCCUCAAGUCUGGUCUGCCUGUCCUGGCCUCUCAAAGUACUAGGAUUACAGGCAUGAGCCACCGCACCCAGUCCUGAUUUUAUCUCUUGAUCAUCUGGAUUAAACUGUACCAGAAGACACUCCUGGGACUUUUGGAUUGCGCAAACAAAUAAAUUUUUUCUUUUGCCUGAGUAAUUUUGUGCUGGAUAUCUGUCCUGGCUGAUAUAGUUAUGGCUGAUAUGUUAGACUGACUCUGUAUUUAAGUGUUAGUAGUUAAUUCCUAAUUAAUAGACUAUUAGAUAUCUUACGUUCAAGUAUAUAUCCUUUUUUCUUUGUAAUUUUGUCAAAUCUUUUAAGUAUUCAUUUCUGAUUCAUUUCACCGAACUCUGAAUUUUCUGGAAGGGGUUGGAAAAAGGGUUGUUAUUUCCCUAGUUUGCAUGCUUCAAUCAGACCAGGUGUUGACAGCGGUGUCUGUGUCAAUGCGUCAGUGACUAUGCCCUGCCAGUUACUAAAUAUUUUGAAUAUCAUAUCUAAUUGGUAGGGGGACACUGUUCUAAGUUGUUCUUUGAAUAUAUUUUUUGUUUGUGGACAAUGAUCUUAAUAUAACUGAC